GGAGAGUCUCCUGGUGGACCUCAUUCAUUUUGAUGGGAGAGACACCAGGCUGACCUCAUUUAUCUUAAUGGUAGGCACCUGUCCGACCAUCGUCAUUCUAAUGGGAGAGACUCCUGGCCGACCUCAGGCAUUCUAACAUGAGACACCUGGCCGACCUCAGGCAUUCUAAAGGGAGUGUCUCCUAGGCGAUCACAGCCAUUCUAUGGGUAGAGACACCUGGUCUACCUCAGGGAUUCUAAUGAGAGAAACAACUGGCCAACCUCAGGUUUUCUAACAGAGACUCUUGGCCAACUUCGGGCAUUCAAAAGAUUGAGACUACUGGCCAACCUCAGGCAUUCUAAUGGGGGAGAAAUGUGGCAGACCUCAGGCAUUCUAACGUGAGAGUCUUCUGGAUGACCUCAGGCAUUCUAAGGGGAGAGACACCUGGCCAACCUCAGGCAUUAUAAUGGAAAGGACUCCUGGCCUAACUCAGGGAUUCUAAUGGGAGAGACAGCCAGAUGAUCUCCAUCAUUCUAAGGGGAGGAACUCCUGGCUGACAUCAGGCAUUCUGAGGGGAGAGUCUCCUGUCCAAAUUCAGGCAUUCUGAGUGGAUAGACACCUGACCAACAUCAGGCAUCUAAGGAUAGGGACACCUGGCUGAACUCAAGCAUUCUAAGGGGAGAGACACCUGGUUGACCUCAUUCAUUCUAUUGAAAGAGAUACCUGGCCAACCUCAGGAGAGACAUCUGGCCGACCUCAGGCAUCCUAAGGGGAGAGGCACCUGACCUACCUCAAUCAUCCUAACAGAAUUGACACCUGUCUGGCCUCAGGCAUUCUAAUAGGAGAGAAACCUGGCCGACCUCAGGAAUUCUAAGGGGAAAGACACAUGGCCAACCUCAGGCAUUCUAACAGGUGAGACACCUGGCCCAC
rnacentral:lncRNA from 10 species